rnacentral:rRNA from 1 species
CCUACGGGGCGCAGCAGUGGGGAAUAUUGCGCAAUGGGGGAAACCCUGACGCAGCAACGCCGCGUGAGCGAUGAAGGCCUUCGGGUUGUAAAGCUCUGUCAUUUGGGACGAUAAUGACGGUACCAGAUGAGGAAGCCACGGCUAACUACGUGCCAGCAGCCGCGGUAAUACGUAGGUGGCGAGCGUUGUCCGGAUUUACUGGGUGUAAAGGGUGCGUAGGCGGAUAUUUAAGUCAGAUGUGAAAUACCCGAGCUUAACUUGGGUGCUGCAUUUGAAACUGGAUGUCUAGAGUACAGGAGAGGAAAGCGGAAUUCCUAGUGUAGCGGUGAAAUGCGUAGAGAUUAGGAAGAACACCGGUGGCGAAGGCGGCUUUCUGGACUGUAACUGACGCUGAGGCACGAAAGCGUGGGGUG